UGGUGGAGUGAUUUGUCUGGUUGAUUCCGUUAACGAACGAGAUCUCGACCCUUAAAUAGGUAUGCUCGUCGACGUCGGCCUGAGGUCAGCUUCGGCUGUCACCUCUUGCCAAGACAGUGCAACUACUUCUUAAGGGGACUGCGUGCGCUUUUAGUACGCGGAAGAGCGAGCCAAUAGCA
rnacentral:rRNA from 1 species